rnacentral:misc_RNA from 1 species
GAGCUCAUGCCCCUAUGGGUAGAUCUCCACCCUUGAAUAAACAAACCUUUGUUGCUUUGGCGAGCCGCUUCGGCUAUUGGCUUCGGCUGGUAAGUGCUCGCCAGAGAAACCAAAACUCUGAAUUUUGUGAUGUCUGAGUACUAUAUAAUAGUUAAAACUUUCAACAACGGAUCUCUUGGUUCU